CAAAAACAUCGCCUCUUGUAAAUUUAAGAGGUCUAGCCUGCCCAGUGACUUUGUUCAACGGCCGCGGUAUCCUAACCGUGCGAAGGUAGCGUAAUCACUUGUUCUUUAAAUAAGGACUAGUAUGAAUGGCAUCACGAGGGUUACACUGUCUCCUUUUUCUAAUCAGUGAAACUAAUCUUCCCGUGAAGAAGCGGGAAUUAACAUAUAAGACGAGAAGACCCUAUGGAGCUUUAAACAAGUAGCACUUGCUAAUUAAUUAUUAUACUCAGGUAUCUAACUCUUAUCCUAGCACUACUGCCUACAAGUUUUCGGUUGGGGUGACCGCGGAGUAAAAACCAACCUCCACACUGAAAGAACUCUUUCUAAGCAAAAAUCUACAACUUUAAGCAUCAAUAAAUUGACAUCUAUUGACCCAAUACUUUGAUCAACGAACCAAGUUACCCUAGGGAUAACAGCGCAAUCCACUUUAAGAGCUCUUAUCGACAAGUGGGCUUACGACCUCGAUGUUGGAUCAGGGUAUCCUAGUGGUGCAGCCGCUACUGAAGGUUCGUUUGUUCAACGAUUAAAACCCUACGUGAUCUGA
rnacentral:rRNA from 1 species